UGAGUUCCCGGUAACUGGCUGUUGAACCCCGCGACGACGGCUGCCGGAACAUCCCCAUUGUUCUGCUGGAAAUGUACUAGUCCUCUAGGGAAAGCAAACACUUCACCUUUUACAAUAUGUUUUGUAAUCAAAACAUUAGAUGUUGUAAUAAAGCCAACGUCUAAUUCACCCUCUAAUACAAAAAUCAUUUCAGUGGCACGAGGAUGAGUGUGAGGUGGGUUAAUUCCACCAGGGGCAUAGUCGAUACGAGCCAUCGACACACCAAGUGUGUUAAGACCAGGGACUUUCAUGACAUUUGCACCUGUCACUACAGAACCAAAUGUAUUGUUUGUUGCUCCUGCCUUUGCUAUUGCCAUUGAUGAAAAGUCUAUUUCUGAAAAGUUCUUCUUGCAAAGAUAACCGUUUAC